UCUAAGACUAACCAGCUGGCAAUUCCAUGAAUAAAUUAUAUGUUUUCUUCCUCUCUAGCCCAAUUGUGGUUCCAGGCCAGCACCUUCAGUAUCACCUGGAAACUUGUUAGAUAUGCAAAUUCUUGGCUUCCCACCUUAGACCUAAUGAAUAAGAAACUGUGGGGUGAGAUGCAGCACGUGGUGUUUUAACAAGCCCUCCAGGUGAUUCUGAUGUACUUCAAGUUUGAGAACCACUGCUUGGGACUCUACAACUGGGGUUGGUUGACUUUUUUUUUUAAACGGGGUCUGGCUGUGUUGCCCAGGCUGGAGUCCAGUAGCUGUUCACAGACAUUAUCAUACCUCGAACUCCCAGGCUCAAGUGAUACUCCUACCUCAGCCUCCUGAGUCACCGGUACUACAGGUAUGCACCACCAUGCCUGGCUAAUUUUUACAUGACAUGGGGCCUCACCAUGUUGCCCAGGCUGGUCUCAAACUCCUGGGCUCAAGUGACCCAUCCGCCUUGGCCUCUCAAAGUGCUGGGACUACAAGCAUGAGCCACUGUGCCUGGUCUCAACAUUUUUUUUUUCUGGAAACUUUACAGCUCUGAAAUCCAAAGUCUAGGAUUUCACUGCUCCAGACUAAGUAAACAUGCUUUUCCCCACCAAAGCCAAAGCUGGAAUUUUUGGAUUGGAGGUCUGAUCUUGAUCUCAAUACACAGGAUGACCUGGCUAAACCACCAGAAAACUGAAACCUGAGAAGAGAAGGUCUUCUAAGAAGGGAAAGGAAUUCUUGUUUCCAAACCAUUAAGUUUUAAGCUGUGGUGAUCCCUGAACUAAGAAAUGUAAAGAAGGGAGCUCUCAAAGGCCCAGAGGGGCAAAGUGGAGUUGCCAGCUGUGAGGGAGCCUAGGAAAACUGUGUUUAGGACCAUAAAUCAAGUCCUUAAGUCUUUUUUUUUUUUCUUUUUUUUGAGACGAAGCCUUGCUCUGUCACCCAGGUUGGACAGUGCAGUGGUGCAAUCUCGGCUCACUGCAACCUCCACCUCCUGGGUUCAAGCAAUUCUUUUCUGCCUCAGCCUCCCGAGUAGCUGGGAUUCCAGGCGCCUGCCACCAUGCCCGGCUAAUUUUUGUAUUUUUAGUAGAGACGGGGGUUUCACCAUGUUGGCCGGGCUGGUCUCGAACUCCUGACCUCAGGUGAUCCGCCCACCUCAGCCUCCCAAAAUGCUGGGAUUAUAGUCACCGUGUCCGGAUUGAGCCACAGUGUCGGGCCUCCCUAAGCAAUUCUGUCCCUAAUGAGAUAAUGACCAUUCUUUUUGCCUUCUGGCUAAGAGUAUGGAAAGAGUUAAAAGCCAAUACUUUCACCACCCCUCUAAGGCUUAUAGAAUGGCAGAAUUCCAUUUCUAUGACCUACAUUCUUUGAAGGGAAUGCCUAUGUCGUGGAAAGAGGAUGCAGCAAGACUUUUCACUUGACUGGGCUUGGUUUUCCCAGACCAAAAAAUAAAAUGGAAAUAAAUCAUCUUUAAGGUCCCUUGCAGCUUUAUGACUGUAUAAAGCUACGUUUUCCAGCUAACAGUGGGGCAGAAGUAGGUAGAAAAAAGAGGAGACUUGUUUUGGCCACUCCCCAGGGAAAGAGGAUUCAUCUGGGUGGUUUCCUGAAGCUCUCGGAAAGGUAAAUAGAGACUGGAGUUGUGUGACUGGUAUUACCCCAGUCCUGUGACACUGAAAGGACACCACAGUUGGAGAGGCCACCUUUGCCUUCUCCGGGAGGAUGGGGGAUGGGAAGCCAGCGUGGAGCCACAGAGGCUUCCAGCUCCGCAGCCUGGCCUGGCUCAGCUCUUUCUGGCAGAAACCAUGUCCUGCGUUCCAGGCUUCCGCGAGCAGGAUGCUAGUGUGCUGCUCUCCUGCUCCCCUCUGCGGGGGCCUCUCAGAGGGUAGGACACACCCUCCUUGCCUUUUUUUUUUCCCCCUAUUAAAAAUCACAACUCAAAUUUGGGUAUUUUUCUCCCUCUGCUAGCCCCGCCAAAACUUUCAGCGCGUUCCGCCCACUCCACGUGGACCUCCCUUCCCUGUCCCAGCAGCCCCUGCGAGAACCCUCACCCCAACAUGUGACCAAUUGUUAUGUUUCCUUCCUGGAGCUCGCUUUCAGCUGGCACCAGCUAACGACUGAACAAAAGUGCCCCCUUCAGGGUGAAUGUGGGGCAGCAGCUUGAGAGGAGGAAAGCUGAUGAGGGCUCAGGUACAAUAGGGGAAUGC
rnacentral:lncRNA from 10 species